ACUCCUACGGGAGGCAGCAGUGGGGAAUAUUGCACAAUGGGCGCAAGCCUGAACCAGCCAUGCCGCGUGUCAGAUGAAGGUCCUCUGGAUUGUAAAUGACUUUUCUACGGGAAGAAUGAGCCGUCUGCGGACGGAAGUUGACGGUACCGUAGGAAUAAGCACCGGCUAACUACGUGCCAGCAGCCGCGGUAAUACGUAGGGUGCAAGCGUUGUCCGGAUUUACUGGGUUUAAAGGGUACGUAGGCGGUUGUGCCAAGUCUGGGGUGAAAGUUUGCAGCUCAACUGUAAAAUUGCCUUGGAUACUGGUCGGCUAGAGUAGUGGAGCGGUGGCUGGAAUUUAUAGUGUAGCGGUGAAAUGCUUAGAUACUAUGAGGAACACCAAUUGCGAAGGCAGGUCACUGGUCACUAACUGACGCUGAGGUACGAAAGUGUGGGGAUCAAACAGGAUUAGAUACCCUGGUAGGCUACCC
rnacentral:rRNA from 1 species